AGAGGAUUCUGUUUAGAUUGGAUUUAGAGUCAUCAAAGCCAUUCUCUACUUUGAAAGUGCUUUCACACCUCAUUCAUCCUUACAACUUUUCAGAUGAGGAAGCUCCUUAAACUCUGAAAAAUGGAGAGAUAAGAAAUGGGUCCAAGUUCGCACAGCUAGUAAGUAGCAAAGCUGUGAUCUGAACCCGAGAAAUCUAGCUCCACAAUCCAUAAUCUUAGCCACUAUACUCUACUGCCUCCCCCAACUAAAAAAGAGUGAGAUUUUUACUACAUUUAUACAUCAUGUCAUCACUGUCACCAUCAUCCUCUCUUCACUGAGUUUUUGGCCACAUCUUCCCUUUUUUGCCCAGCAUUUAAGCUUCCCCACUCCUUCCAUGUAAAUGGAAAUUCUGACUAUGAUUUCUUAGGUUUGACUUUUGCCCCCUUGCACUAGUUGAAUCAAUAACAAAAGACAAAACAUAAUUCUAUAUAGCCACAGACCCUAGCCAUGGUGUGAUUGCUAGAGUAUACAUAUUAACAAGGGAACCUACUUUGCCUCGACAAGAAGCAGUGGAAGAGAGCCAGAUGUCCCAUUAAAAGUCCUUUCUAACCUAAAUGAGUUUGUGACUAUGUGUGUUUAUACGUGUGAGGAUGAAACACACUGUGAACACCGUUUCUCCUAGUGUCUAAGCUGUUAUCAGAGAAUGAAGCACUUCAGGAGGCUAAUUGAGCACUGGAGGCUGUCUAUACUGGCAGAGCAGAGGGGAGAGGGAGAGUUGGAGCCCCCCCAUACACACACACACACACACACACACACACACACUCAAGAAAAACUGCUCAAUUCUCUAGGCAGGCCAAUCUCAUCUGAUAGAAUCAAAUUAAACUUCAUGUUGCCUCUACAGACAAAAUACAUUUGUUUUCAGAUGCCCAGACAAGACUCAGCUUCCCUAGUCUGUGCAAUGGUCCUCGCAGGACUUCUGAGUAAACCUCUCAUUCUGCGCAUUCAGCUCAGACUUAGCUGCCACGAUGUUCCGGCAUUGUCUUUCCGAGCCAUACUCUUCCAGCCCCUGCCAUUCUGUUAUUUAACAGAGAGCACGCAAAAGAAAAAAAAAUUAAGGUGAAAAAGAAUCAUACUAAAGGUCAAUCCCAUAUUUUGUAUAAAGAUAUUAUUUUUUCGUUGUUUAUUAUUGUUGGCCUGUUUGGAUUAAUUAUAGCACCGUUUUUGUAAGUGGCAGGGGCAAUCUGUCACCCAGAAUUACACAGCAGGCCACCCAAGCUCCACACUUCCUGUUAUCCUGCUGUAAAUCAGUGUCACUCGCUGGAGAGCAUGCCACACGUACCCACGGCCGGGCUGGCCCCGUCACAAUCAAUGCAGUGCCCACCACUCCCCUCUUCUCAUUCCCGAAAGGGUCCUGAAAGAGGAUUUGUCGAGGAAUGCCACAGCCUCACAGUGUGCUGACUUUAUAAAGAGACGAGGUGAAGUAACACUUUUCUUUUUAAUACCCCGUGGUGUCGAACUGAAAUUGCAGCCUGCUAUUUUCAGAGGCCUCCUUGGUAAGAGAAUGUUUUUUAUCUGGAGAUACAAUGACCGUACCCCGUACCCUGCAGUUCCCAUGAAGCUGUUGCCAAAGUCCAUGAAUGCUUGCUUUAUGAAUUGGUCUUGCAGGUGUUCAGGGGGGUAUGUAAUCACUAAUGAAUAGUCGAAAAACACAGAAACUCUCCGCAGCCUCUGGCACCGAGAGCUGCUGGGCUUUAUAAUUCUGUGAGAAAACACACAUGCAACUAAAGCUUUCCCUGGGCUCCAGCGUUGCCUGAGGCCAAAUAUUCGUCACAGCCCAUCCCUAGGCUGGUGGUAUGUUCCAGAAGGGAUGAGAGCUGUAGUCGCCCUGUGGGCCGGGAAGUUUUUGGCACUUACACAAUUUCCCUGCCCUGACGUGGUACAUUAUUUUAGCCAAUGGUACCAUCUUUAUUUAAGGGCCAUUUAUGGAAUAUCCAGCAGGCCAGACCACCUGGAUAUUUUAUGAAGACCUUAUGGGCUUAGGCCCAGGUGGGCUGGAUGCCC
rnacentral:lncRNA from 1 species